rnacentral:rRNA from 1 species
CUGCGAGUGAAGCGGCAAAAGCUCAAAUUUGAAAUCUGACGUCUGAUCGGGCGUUCCGAGUUGUAAUUUGGAGGAGCGGCUUCGGGAGCGGCACCGUCUCAAGUUCCGUGGAACCGGACGUCACAGAGGGUGAGAAUCCCGUGUCUGGACGGGCUAGCCUGUUCCCAUGCGAAGUGCUUCCGACGAGUCGAGUUGUUUGGGAAUGCAGCUCAAAAUGGGUGGUAAAUUUCAUCUAAAGCUAAAUAUUGGCGAGAGACCGAUAGCGCACAAGUAGAGUGAUCGAAAGAUGAAAAGCACUUUGAAAAGAGAGUUAAAAAGUACGUGAAAUUGUUGAAAGGGAAGCGCUUGAGAUCAAAACUCGGUCUUUGGUGAAGCGUGCGAUUUAGCUCGUAGCCUCUCCCUUUGACCGGGCCAGCAUCGGUUUUGAUGGCGGGAGAAACGGUAGAGGAAUGUGGCUCUCUUUGGAGAGUGUUAUAGCCAAUACCACAUACCGCCAGUCGAGACCGAGGACCCCCCGCGCUACGGCUAGGAUGCUGGCGUAAUGGUCUUCAGCGACCCG